AUCCAGCUCAAAAGUCCCAAAUAGGACGAAACGCACGUCCUGGAU
rnacentral:hammerhead_ribozyme from 1 species